CCUGUGCCGGCAGCCUACACAUGCAGUCGAGCGGCAGCGGGAAAGUAGCUUGCUACUUUUGCCGGCGAGCGGCGGACGGGUGAGUAAUGCCUGGGGAUCUGCCCAGUCGAGGGGGAUAACUACUGGAAACGGUAGCUAAUACCGCAUACGCCCUACGGGGGAAAGCAGGGGACCUUCGGGCCUUGCGCGAUUGGAUGAACCCAGGUGGGAUUAGCUAGUUGGUGAGGUAAUGGCUCACCAAGGCGACGAUCCCUAGCUGGUCUGAGAGGAUGAUCAGCCACACUGGAACUGAGACACGGUCCAGACUCCUACGGGAGGCAGCAGUGGGGAAUAUUGCACAAUGGGGGAAACCCUGAUGCAGCCAUGCCGCGUGUGUGAAGAAGGCCUUCGGGUUGUAAAGCACUUUCAGCGAGGAGGAAAGGUUGGUAGCUAAUAACUGCCAGCUGUGACGUUACUCGCAGAAGAAGCACCGGCUAACUCCGUGCCAGCAGCCGCGGUAAUACGGAGGGGUGCAAGCGUUAAUCGGAAUUACUGGGCGUAAAGCGCACGCAGGCGGUUGGAUAAGUUAGAUGUGAAAGCCCCGGGCUCAACCUGGGAAUUGCAUUUAAAACUGUCCAGCUAGAGUCUUGUAGAGGGGGGGGUAGAAUUCCAGGUGUAGCGGGUGAAAUGCGUAGAGAUCUGGGAGGGAAUACCCGGUGGGCGAACGCGGCCCGCCUGGGACCAAAGACUGACGCUCAGUGCGAAAGCGUGGGGGAGCAAAGCAGGAUUACAUACCCUGGGUAGUUCCACGCCGUAAACGAUGUCGAUUUGGAGGCUGUGUCCGUUGAGACGUGGCUUCCGGAGCUAACGCGUUUAAAUCGACGUCCUGGGGAGUACGCCGCAAGCUAAGAGCUCAAUGACUGACUGGGGCCCGCCACAGCGGUGGAGUCUAUGUGCUGAUCGAUGCAACGCGAAGACUAACUUGUCUUGACAUGUCUGAUCAUGUAAGAAUACGGAUGCUUCGGUAUCGUACCCAGGGUACGC
rnacentral:rRNA from 1 species